UGCUGUGCUGCGCUCCAUGGUUUUGCAAAGAGUAGGACACAACUUAGCGACUGAACAAUAAAAACUACAUUUCUUUCCUCUUUUCUGCAUGAUUUGGGUUUACAUUGCUUUUUCUUUUCUAAUUUAAGGUGGAAGCUUAGAUUACUGAUUUGAGACUUCUUUUCUAAUGUAAGCAUUUGUACUAGAAAUUUCCCUCUAAGCACUGUUUCAGCUCCAUCUCUUAAUUUUCUUACAUGCUCCAUUUUAAUUGCAUUCAGUUAAAAAUAUUUUAAGUUCCCCUUUUGAUUUCCUCUUUGAUCCAUGGAUUAUUUAGGAUUUUGGUGUUUAAUUCCCAACUGAUCAAACAGUUUUCUGACAUCCUUCUCUUACUGAUUUCUGUUCUAAUUCUGUUAUAGUCAGAGGACAUGCUUUGUAUGUUUUUGAUCAUCUUAAAUUUGCUUGGGUUUUUUUUUAAUCAGGACAUGCUUUAUUUGGAUGUUCCUUGGGCGCUUGAGAAGGACGCACACCCUGCUGCUCUUGUGUGGGUCAUGCUGUGAGUGACACCAUGUCCAGUUGGUUGAUAAUAUUGUUCACUUAUUUUAUAUCCUUGCUGAUCUUCUGUCUAUAAGCUUUAUCUAUUACUGAGGGAGAAGCACUGCUGUGUGUAUGGGACCCCUUGGACUGUAGCCCGCCAGGCUCCUCUGCCCAUGGGAUUCUCCAGGUAAGAAUACUGGAGUGGGUUGCUAAGCCUUCCUCCAAGGGAUCUUCCUGACCCAGGGAUUGAACCCAUGUGUCUUGAGUCUCCUGCAUUGCAGGCAGAUUCUUUACCGUUGAGUCACUGAGGAAGCCCAAAGAACUGCUGACUCCAACUAUAAUUGAGAGUUUAUCUAUUUCCUUUUCUUUUUCACUUUUUGGCCACACCACACAGCAUGUGGAAUCUUAUUUCCCUGAACAGGCAUCAAACCCACACCUCUUGGAGUAGAAGCUCAGAGUCUCAACUGCUGGGCCAUGAGGGAAGUCUCAGAGUUGUCUAUUUCUACUUUCUUUUUUAACCUUUACUCCUCUGGCUGCACCGGGUCUUCCUUGCGGCACGUGGGGCCUUUGGUCUUCCUUGCGGCACGCGGGAUCUCUAGUGUGGCACACAAGCUCUGACUUGCAGCAUGUGGGAUCCAGUGCCCUGACCAGGAAUCAACCUCAGGCCCUCUGCACUGGGAGCUCAGAGCCUUAGCCAGGGACACCAGGGAGUCCCUAUUUCUACUUUUAGUUCUGUCCAUUUAUUAUGCCUUCUUGAAGAAUUGUCAGUUUUAUCAAUAUAAAUCCUCUUUAUCCUCCGUAAUUCUCUUUGUUCCAAAGUUUCUGUUGUGUGGCAUUAACAAAACCGCUCACUCCUGUCUUCUUCUGAUUAGUUUUUGCAAGUAUGUCAUCUUUCAUCCUUCUACUUUAAUCUAUGUAUCAUUAUAUUUGAAGUAAGUUUUAGAAAUUGUAAUUUAUAAUGAGAAAUAAAUAUUUGGUCUUCAUCUGUUUCUGAUUCUCAGUUCCUAAAACCCUGCAUUUUCCUAGGCUAUGAGAGAAAUCCAUUUACACCUGCUGUAAUUAUGGAUAAUUUUAAUUUGGUCAACAUUACUUGGUGUCAGAAGUGGGAUCCAGAAAGGACCCCUGAUAACUCCAAUGUAGUGAGCGAACCACUGUGAACUCACAGAGCCCAGGGAGCUCACUGCUUUCUUGCUGACCCUAGAGUUUAAGUCCUGGGCUGUUUCUGGAGACACUGACCAUCUGUUCCUAUUGAAUCAGCUACCACCCUCCUUAUGGGCAACAACUUCAACAGAUUUUGGCAAAACCCACAGCUCUUUCAGUCAAGACUCAAAUUUAAGUCCCUCGAAUCCUCUCCCCAGAACGAACCAACAGGCUUAAGUAGAGAAGGUCCUCCAGGUUUAAAGCCCGUGACAGAGUUCCAGGGCUCAGGGCCUCCCCACCCCAUACAUACUGCUAAGCGGAACCUGUGAGAAAGCCCAGGGGCUGAGGAUGGAGGUCUGUCUAGGAUCUGCAGGCCAUAAUCAACGCUGCUGCCCCUCAGCACCCCAUUGUUCUUAACCCCCACCCUCUACAAGCACCCACUCCUACUGAAAGCAACAUUUCACCAUAACCGACCUACGCGGUGCACACAGCAGCAUUCCAGCUGGCAGAGCGAGUGCCCUCCUGCCUCCACCCGGGAGGAUGGUAGCACACCUGGACAGUGGUGCCCCAGGUGUCACCAAAACACCCUCUUUUUUCCAUAAAUCUUAAAAGCUGACUUGGAUGGCAUCGUGUUUUUUGAAGUCUUGACUCCGCUAUGAUACACAGCUAACCUCUGAGCAGCACGGGUUUGAACUGCGUCGGUCGUCUUAUGUGCAGCUUUCCCGAUAAAGUCUACAGUGCUGCUGCGGCUGGCUGGCUCCUGCUCCGGGAGCGCAGAUGCAGAGGGCUGACCGGAAAGUGGCGCUCCGUUCCCCCAUCGUGCCGACUGUGCGGCCCCCUGGAUGGCAGCCCGCCACGCUCCUCUGUCCACGGGAUUUCCCAGAUGCCACACUCUCACCAGCCGCCUUGGUCAUCAUCAAGACGCUGAGCGUGACUCAUCCCAGACUUGACUCCCUGGAGGCUAAGAGAAUCCAUCUCACUGAUAUUUCGUGCAACAACACUGCUCUCAGAGGAACCACUGGCCACACUUCUGUUAUGGUCUGAAGAGAUGCUCCCCAAAUGACAGCCCGAGAAGGCCAGCGUAACAACUGGCCUCAGAAAAAGACAAACAGUAUUGAAAAUCCAGUGACUGUUGGUUCCAUAAAAAGAACUCUGCAGCUGCUGCUGCUAAGUUGCUUCAGUCGUGUCCAACUCUGUGCGACCCCAUAGACGGCAGCCCAGCAGGCUCCCCCAUCCCUGGGAUCCUCCAGGCAAGAGUACUGGAGUGGGGUGCCAUUGCCUUCUCCCAAAAAGAACUCUAGCUUGGGCCAAAUAUCAAUCCAGCUUCCUGAGGAAUUCUAAGAUUUGCAUUCCUUAGUACAUGCACUAAACCAUAGAUCCACUGACAAAACGAUAGCCUUCAUGAACCAACACUGGUGGGGAAGUAUUAAUAAGGCCUCAAAAAGUGCCUGCCUGGCUCAUCUCAUCUGUCCAAAUACAAUCCGGGGAAAGUCGCUCCCAGAGACUCUGCAUCGCCUCACGCCCACUGGAGGUUUGGCAAAUGUGCUUCCUAUUGCUUCCCUC